AGGCGCGAAACCUUUACACUGCACGCCAGYGAAUAAGGGGAUCCCAAGUGCGUAGGCAUAGAGCCUACGCUUUUGUCCACCCUAGGGUGGUGGACGAAUAAGGGCUGGGCAAGACCGGUGCCAGCCGCCGCGGUAAUACCGGCAGCCCGAGUGAUGGCCGAUCUUAUUGGGCCUAAAGCGUCCGUAGCUGGCCGCACAAGUCCAUCGGGAAAUCCACCUGCUCAACAGGUGGGCGUCCGGUGGAAACUGUGUGGCUUGGGACCGGAAGGCGCGACGGGUACGUCUGGGGUAGGAGUGAAAUCCUGUAAUCCUGGACGGACCGCCGAUGGCGAAAGCACGUCGCGAAGACGGAUCCGACAGUGAGGGACGAAAGCUAGGGUCUCGAACCGGAUUAGAUACCGGGUAGUCCUAGCCGUAAACACUGCCUGCUAGGUGUGGCACCACUACGAGUGGCGCUGUGCGUAGGAAGCCGCUAAGCAGCCGCCUGGAAGUACGUCCGCAAGAUGAACUUAAAGGAAUUGGCGGGGAGCACUACAACCGGAGGAGCUGCGGUUUAAUUGGACUCAACGCCGGACAUCUCACCAGCAUCGACUGUACUAAUGACGACCAGGUUGAUGACCUUGUCCGAGGUACAGAGAGGAGGUGCAUGGCCGCCGUCAGCUCGUACCGUGAGGCGUCCUGUUAAGUCAGGCAACGAGCGAGACCCGCAUCGAUACUUGCCAGCAACGCUGUGAAGCGGUUGGGGACAGUAUCGAGACUGCCGUGGCCAACACGGAGGAAGGAACGGGCAACGGUAGGUCAGUAUGCCCCGAAUGUGCUGGGCAACACGCGGGCUACAAUGGUCGAGACAAAGGGUUCCAACUCCGAAAGGAGACGGUAAUCUCAGAAACUCGAUCGUAGUUCGGAUUGUGGGCUGCAACUCGCCCACAUGAAGCUGGAUUCGGUAGUAAUCGCGUGUCACAAGCGCGCGGU
rnacentral:rRNA from 1 species